UGAGACUCUGUGCGCGUGCAUAUCAAUAAGCGGAGGAAAAGAAACUAACAAGGAUUCCCUUAGUAACGGCGAGUGAAGCGGGAAGAGCUCAAAUUUGAAAUCUUCAAGGUCCUACCUUGACGAAUUGUAGUUUAUAGAAGUGUUUUCUGUAGUGGAGUUUGGUAAAAGUUCUUUGGAAUAGGACAUCAUAGAGGGUGAGAAUCCCGUAUUUGACCAUUAUUUUCAGCUGUGUGAUACACUUUCAAAGAGUCGGAUUGUUUGGGAAUGCAGUCCAAAAUGGGUGGUAAAUUUCAUCUAAAGCUAAAUAUUGGCGAGAGACCGAUAGCGAACAAGUACCGUGAGGGAAAGAUGAAAAGAACUUUGAAAAGAGAGUUAAACAGUACGUGAAAUUGUCAAAAGGGAAGCGUUUGACACCAGUGUUGUUUUUCCGAAAAUCAAUUACGAAUGUUUUAUUUUUGAGGAGUUAUGACUUCAUCGGCUUGCUCCUUUCUUUAUGAAACUUUCUUAAUGCACUUUUCGGUUAACAAGUCAACAUCAAUUUCUUUUGUUGUAAAAGGGUAUGAGGAAGGUGGCUUUCUUUUCGGAGAAAGUGUUUAUAGCCUUGUGCCUCUGCAAUCGGAGAGAUUGAGGUCUGCAGCGUAGAUCCUUCGGGGUUAGAUACGUUUGUGCUAAGUUAUAGCUUUUCAUAGACAACUUGUUGACUAUGUUUAGUCUUGUAGCUUACUCGCUGACGCUAUUUUACCUACGCUUAGGAUGUUGACAGCAGUAUAGACUGU
rnacentral:rRNA from 1 species